UGGCUGCAGGUCCCAGACCCAAAAUGCCGCCCCCAAAAUGCUAGCACCCUAGGCGACCACCUAUGUCACCUAAUGGGUUGUACCAGCCCUGG